CAGCAGCCGCGGUAAUACGUAGGGUGCGAGCGUUGUCCGGAAUUAUUGGGCGUAAAGGGCUCGUAGGCGGUCUGUCACGUCGGGAGUGAAAACUCAGGGCUUAACCCUGAGCCUGCUUCCGAUACGGGCAGACUAGAGGUAUGCAGGGGAGAACGGAAUUCCUGGUGUAGCGGUGAAAUGCGCAGAUAUCAGGAGGAACACCGGUGGCGAAGGCGGUUCUCUGGGCAUUACCUGACGCUGAGGAGCGAAAGUGUGGGGAGCGAACAGGAUUAGAUACCCUGGUAGUCCACACCGUAAACGU
rnacentral:rRNA from 1 species